AACAUCGCGCACCUGCGGGAACCUGCGGAGGGAUCAUUACAGAGUUGCAAAACUCCCUAAACCAUUGUGAACGUUACCUAAACCGUUGCUUCGGCGGGCGGCCCGGGUCCUUCCCGGCGCCCAUCGGCCCUCGCGGGCGCCCGCCGGAGGUAAACCAAACUAUUGCAUUGUAUGGCCUCUCUGAGUCCUCUGUACUGAAUAAGUCAAAACUUUCAGCAACGGAUCUCAGAUCGGAAGAGC
rnacentral:misc_RNA from 1 species